UACGUAGGGGGCAAGCGUUAUCCGGAUUUACUGGGUGUAAAGGGAGCGUAGACGGUAUGGCAAGUCUGAUGUGAAAGCCCGGGGCUCAACCGCGGGACUGCAUUGGAAACUGUCAGGCUAGAGUGCAGGAGAGGUAAGUGGAAUUCCUAGUGUAGCGGUGAAAUGCGUAGAUAUUAGGAGGAACACCGGUGGCGAAGGCGGCUUACUGGACUGUAACUGACGUUGAGGUGCGAAAGCCGGGGGAGCGAAC
rnacentral:rRNA from 1 species